UGGUGGAGUGAUUUGUCUGGUUAAUUCCGUUAACGAACGAGACCUCGACCUGCUAAAUAGUUUUGUGUAAUCUCCGGGUUACAUCUAGACUUCUUAGAGGGACUAUCGGUGCGUAGCCGAUGGAAGUUCGAGGCAAUAACA
rnacentral:rRNA from 1 species